rnacentral:lncRNA from 1 species
UCUUCUUCGGAUAUCAGAUAAGUCUUUCCACUAUUUUCUUGCAAGCCAAACAUGUUUGAUAGGCCUUCAUGUUCUUCCCUGUCAAACAUGUUAGCUAGCACCUAAUUUUUUUCCCCCCUUUUUUUCUUGUUAAUUGACUGAAUAUGUGUGUUUGAUUUUUCUUGCCGGUCAACUAAUGAUGUGGGUACUAUGAAACUUUCUCUCUUGCCAAACGUGUUGUUUCUAGGGUUUUGUUGCCUCACUAAGAUGUUAGUAUUUAGAUUUAUUGCUGGCCUGUCAUGCCAGAACAUAAUUUUAAUGUUCUUACCAUCCAAACAUGUUUCUUUCCUGCCAAAGAUGUUAGUAUACUGAAUUUUCUUGCUAGUCAAACAAGUGGGUGCUUAAUUUAACUUUCUUGUUGGCCAACCAGCACUACUCCUUUUUGCCAAACAUGUUAGAAGGUGCUCAAUUUUUCUUAAUAUUCAAACAUGUGGGUUCUUCUUUCCUUCUUUCUUUCUCUCUUUCUCUAGCCACACUUGCCACCACUUAAUUUUCUUACCAGCCAAACAUGGUGUUAUAAAAAGAAAAAUAAUUAUAAAGUAGGAAAAGAUACAUAAUUCUGUGAAAGAUCAGUUAUUUCUUCUUAUUAAUUGAGAGAAUUCUAGUAGUAGUUGUUAGUUAAUAAAUUUUAAAAUGUAGAAUAUAUAAUGGUUGUUUCUAAUAU